CGAGUCGGUCAGGCGAUCGCUCCCGGCACUCCUUGAGGGCCGGGGGAGGAAAGUCCGGGCUCCACAGGGCAGGGUGCCAGGUAACGCCUGGGGGGCGCGAGCCUACGGAAAGUGCAACAGAAAGGACACCGCCUCUGCAGCGCCCCCGGGCGAACAGCGGUAAGGGUGAAAAGGUGCGGUAAGAGCGCACCGCGCGGCUGGUAACAGGCGCGGCGAUGGUAAACCCCACCUGGAGCAAGACCAAAUAGGAAUCCGUAUGCCGCGGCCCGCGGUGGAUUCGGGUAGGUCGCUAGAGGCGGAUGGCGACAUCCGCCCCAGAUGAAUGAUCGUCCUCGACAGAACCCGGCUUAUCGACCGACUCACUGU
rnacentral:RNase_P_RNA from 1 species